GAUGACUUCCUGCGGCCGGAGCUCGGCGGCGGGAGCAGCUGCUGCAGCUGGCAUAUCGGGUGGGGGCCGGCCGAGCUGAACGAGCACUGACCCGGCGCGGCGGCACUGCGGCCCUGGGGCAGCCGGCACCGGGGACAUGCGCUCAUUCGAUCCCUCCGGAGAAGGGUGAGCUUAAUCCAGCAGAAGAGUGAGCUCUUCUGUGGCUGGAUGUUUCCAUGAAGAUGAGUCAAGUUCCAUUUUGAGCCUGGAAAAUCUUGCAUGCUGUCUCAUCAACUUCUUCCUUUUCUCAUACACGGGCCUCCCACUGUUGUGGCCUCUCCCGUUGCGGAGCACAGGCUCCGGACGCGCAGGCUCAGUGGCCAUGGCUCACAGGCCCAGCCGCUCCGCGGCAUGUGGGAUCUUCCCGGACCGGGGCACGAACCUGUGUCCCCUGCAUCGGCAGGCGGACUCUCAACCACUGCGCCACCAGGGAAGCCCCUCUAUGUAUUUAAUGUGUACUUUUGUUAAAGCAUUGUAAAAUAACAACUGAAUUGUACUCAAAUAAAUACAUCAUUUUCCUCAA